rnacentral:rRNA from 1 species
CUCGUAGGCGGUUCGUCACGUCUGCUGUGAAAACCCGAGGCUCAACCUCGGGCCUGCAGUGGGUACGGGCGGACUAGAGUGCGGUAGGGGAGAUUGGAAUUCCUGGUGUAGCGGUGGAAUGCGCAGAUAUCAGGAGGAACACCGAUGGCGAAGGCAGAUCUCUGGGCCGUAACUGACGCUGAGGAGCGAAAGCGUGGGAGCGAACA